AAAGCGUGCGCAGGCGGCUUUGCAAGACAGAGGUGAAAUCCCCGGGCUCAACCUGGGAACUGCCUUUGUGACUGCAAGGCUAGAGUACGGCAGAGGGAGAUGGAAUUCCGCGUGUAGCAGUGAAAUGCGUAGAUAUGCGGAGGAACACCGAUGGCGAAGGCAAUCUCCUGGGCCUGUACUGACGCUCAUGCACGAAAGCGUGGGGAGCAAACAGGAUUAGAUACCCCUGU
rnacentral:rRNA from 1 species